rnacentral:rRNA from 1 species
CCCUAUCCCCCUGUUGCGCCUUGCCCUCCCACGACGUCCGGCCGCGUCCGACCUAGAGUAGUGGCAGGAGGGUGGUAGGUAACUUUCCUGUGUAGCGGUAGAAAUGCGUAGAUAGUAGGAAGGAACCACCAGGUGGACGGAAGGCCGACCCUACCGUCGGGUACUAACUACUGACACUGGAGGUCGACGAAGCGGUGGGAGCAAACAGGAUUAGAUACCCUGGUAGUCCACGCCGUAAACGAUGUCGACUAGCCGUU